CAGCCGCCACGGGAAUACGGAGGGUGCAAGCGUUAAUCGGAAUUACUGGGCGUAAAGCGCACGCAGGCGGUCUGACAAGUCAGAUGUGAAAUCCCCGGGCUUAACCUGGGAACUGCAUUUGAAACUGUCAGGCUGGAGUCUUGUAGAGGGGGGUGGAAUUCCAGGUGUAGCGGUGAAAUGCGUAGAGAUCUGGAGGAAUACCGGUGGCGAAGGCGGCCCCUUGGACAAAGACUGACGCUCAGGUGCGAAAGCGUGGGGAGCAAACAGGAUUAGAUACCCCAGUAGUCCCUGUCUCUUAUAC
rnacentral:rRNA from 1 species